GUUUUAUGCCACAUUGUGUUCAUUCAGACAUUAAGAUGUACUUAUCGUGAGCAGUGAUACUGAUGCUCUGGAUGUGUGCCACUCAUAGAGGUUUGUGAGAUCAUCAGAACCAGAAACACAUCUUCCAGGAGCUGUUGAGGUCUCCUUGAUCCUGCCUAGACUUGCCUCCUCCCUGAAGAUCCACUGUCAUACCAACAAUGCCUUCUGAAAGCCUCACAGAAAACCGCACUAACACUGAAAGCAGUAAGGCGUAGGAGGGAGAUCAGCAGUUGGAUCUGCAAAGCAGUUCUCCUAUGGAGUCUGGACAUCACCCACAUUCUGAGCCAGCACCUGCUUCUAGAGAACCAAGUGCAAAGUCUGGGAAUCAACGUUAAUUAUGGAUUAUUGAGAAGAAGAUGUUUUCUGGUUGUGUCAUGCAUACCCUUUAAACACUGCUUCAGAGUUCCGGCUCAAAAUUAAGUUCACAAAUAUAAAGCAAGACCUUGACCUAAAUUUUCACUACGGAUGUUGAAGAUGUCACAUGUUUUGCCUAUUAGUACAGAAUUAGAGAAAACACGUCAUUUAAAAUUAAGUAGUCAA
rnacentral:lncRNA from 1 species